GACUAUUUGUAUAGGCGUUAUAUGUUCCGUAUUUUCAAUUGUGACGUACUAUUCAACUGACAGCAAUAUAGUGAUUAUUAGAAUAAUCAAACCGCUCAUGUAGCGAGAACCGGAAGCGCCGACUGCCAGGGGAGGAGAGUAGGCGACUGUACGUAGAAAUAUCUGCGCAAGCGUCUUUGAAAGACAUAAUGUGAGUUACAGCGCUAACUGCUAUGGAAGGUUGAGUGGUGUGGUGGACCGUUGUGAUGGCACUGUAGACAUGUCACCUGUGCACCAGGUAGUCAAUAGAAGCUGUCCCUGUGGUGACACGGGCUGGAGAACAUCCUGCUGAGGCUGCAGACAGGUCUGAGAGACAACCAGACCUCACAGGACAAACACUCACAGCCAAGAGGGACUCUGAAGCUCUGCCAGUGACCACCUCCCUGACCAAGGCCCCUCCCCCCGAUUCCGCAGUUUGGCCCGGGUGGACAGCUCUAGUAAUAGUAUUGGUGGUUUAAAACGUCUUCCAUGUAAGAAUGCUGGAGGCCACUGUGUUCUUGAGGAUCUUCAAUGCUGCAGAAAUGUUUUGGUUACCCUUCCCCAGAUCUGUGCCUCGACACAAUCCCGUCUCUGAGCUCUACAGACAACUCCUUCGACCUGAUUGCUUGGUUUUUGCUCUGACAUGCACUGUCAACUGUGGGACCAUAUAUAGACAGGUGUGUGCCUUUCCAAAUCAUGUCCAGUCAAUUACAUUUACCACAGGUGGACUCCAAUCAGGUUGUAGAAACAUCUUGUGGAUGAUCAAUGGAAUAGGAUAUACCUGAGCUAAAUUGAGGAUCAUAACAAAGGGUCUGAAUACUUGUAGAAAUACUUUAUUUGUUUAAUUUUUUUAUACAUUUGAAAACAAUUCUGAUCCUGUUUUUGCUUUGUCCUUAUGGGGUAGUGUUUGUGGAUUAUUUUCUCUCAAUUUAAUCAAUUUUAGAACAAGGCUGUACCAUAACAAUGUGGGUAAGGGGUCUGAAUACUUUCUAACUGCACAGUGUAUAUUAAUGUAAUGAAAUUGGUCACAUCUAGCAGAUUUUGUCGCAAAAUGCUUGUGUUCCUAGCUCCAACAGUGCAGUAGUAUCUAAAAAUGAUUCACAGCAAUGCACAAUCUAAAAAUAGAAGAAUGGCAUUAAGAAAUAUAUAAAUAUUAGAUCGAGAAAUGUCGGCGUGGCAUCGACUAAAAUACAUUAGAAUAGAAUACAGUAUAUACAUGAGAUGAGUAAAGCAGUAUGUAAACAUUAUUCAAGUGACAAGUGAUUCUAUGUGUAUAGGGGGUGUUCCCUUUAUUCCAUACAUCCUGCAUGUUAAUUCAUGGCCUUGGAAAUGUAAAUACUAAAAUAAUGUUUGGCUUUUAAAUUAUUUCUGUUCUGAGGCCUAAUGGAAUGGAUGAACAGCCAUGUAAAUGCCAAUUAUUAUUAAAUGCCUUAUUCUUAUCAUGUCUUUCCAAAUCCAUUUUGAUUACAAUAUCCCUGAGAUGAAUGUUGUAUAAUGUUAUGGUCCUUACGGCAAUGUAACUUGCACUUUGUUUUCAGGUUUGAAUGACAGUGUAUUCCCCUAAACUUAUUUCAAUAAAGUUGUUACUUGUUUAUAUGUAA